rnacentral:misc_RNA from 1 species
GGAAUCUUGCACAAUGGGCGCAAGCCUGAUGCAGCGAUGCCGCGUGAGGGAUGAAGGCCUUCGGGUCGUAAACCUCUUUCAGUAGGGAAGAAGCCACGGGUCACCGUGGUGACGGUACCUGCAGAAGAAGCCCCGGCUAACUACGUGCCAGCAGCCGCGGUAAAACGUAGGGGGCAAGCGUUGCCCGGAUUCACUGGGCGUAAAGCGGGUGUAGGCGGUUCUUUAAGUCAGAUGUGAAAUCCAGCGGCCUAACCGCUGAAUUGCAUCUGAUACUGGAGAACUUGAGGACGGUAGAGGUCGGUGGAAUUCCGAGUGUACCGGUGAAAUGGGCAGAUAUUCGGAGGAACACCAGUGGCGAAGGCGGCCGACUGGGCCGAUCCUGACGCUGAGACCCGAAAGCCAGGGUAGCGAACCGGA